CGUUGCCCAGCUGUAAUUUGAUUGUCUCUUGUCCACGUAUUUUAAAGAAGAUAUUAACUGAGGUCACCAUGAACAACGGUGAUUAUCUUCUACAAUACACAUUUAAAAACUGUCUCUUGAAGAAAAUUGAUAUUAAAAAUGUCGGUGUGGUGCCCACCAGCUGCGGGAUAUUGGUAUUUAAUGAUAAACGUCUGGCAUUGCCCGUCCUUACGCCACCUUUACUCCACACCGCUGCGGAGUUUUCAGUAUUUCAAGCAUCUUUCUGAGGAGGACAAUGCGGUUAAACUGGAUUUAGCUAGCCAGAUUGACAGCAGACAAGCGGAGAGAACAGCUCUGCAUCUCCGACUGUGACAUAACAUCCCGGCUCAGAACAGAAGCACACAGGGCUCGGUGAUGGGGAUUACAGCUCAUUCUUCAGAGCGCUCGGUUUAUUUUAGGUUCUGACUGGAUAAAACAGGAUUAGCAUCACAAUGAAUCCCCUGGCAUUCAAACCCAGAGGUCAGCUCCUCCAUGGCCUUUGACAUUUGAAAUGUUUGUAAAUCCCCAUCUGUGUUGUGAUAGCUAAACAUAGAUUUGAUCAGCUGUCAUUCCAGUAAGGUGUCCAUUUUUGAUAAGCGCCGUGCUUUUUUAGAGGCUCUGUCCGGUGGUGAAAGGUUUCAUCUACCAGUGCCAAUUUUUACUGUGUUCUCAGUUGCUUUACUAUAGGUCCACUUUUUGUAAAUCAUUUCUUACGUUUUUUUAUUUUUUUUAUUUGUAAUGCACUGGGUGGUGAUAAACAUUACUUGUGUAGUGAAUAUAGAAAAAAUUGCUAUUGCAGUCUGU